rnacentral:rRNA from 1 species
UACGUAGGGGGCAAGCGUUGUCCGGAUUUAUUGGGCGUAAAGAGCGUGUAGGCGGCCAGACAGGUCCGUUGUGAAAACUGGAGGCUCAACCUCCAGACGUCGAUGGAAACCGUCUGGCUAGAGUCCGGAAGAGGAGAGUGGAAUCCUGGUGUAGCGGUGAAAUGCGCAGAUAUCAGGAAGAACACCCGUGGCGAAAGCGGCUCUCUGGGACGGUACUGACGCUGAGACGCGAAAGCGUGGGGAGCGAACAGG